AUGGAUGCAAGAAGGGGAGGGAUAGGGGGAGUUGCUCGAUCUCGGUCUUCCUUUCUUGCGUCAUGGUGCAGACCCUACUCUGGGAUUACGGAUCCGCUGAUAGCUGAAGCUCUUACCAUUCGCGACGGAGUCAUCUUCGCUCGUCUGAGAGGCUAUGCAGAUGUGGUUUUUGAGUCUGACAAUUUGGAGAUUGUGAAUCUCUGGAAUUCGCGCCAAACAUCCCGUGCGGUGGUGGCGUCUAUCUUCUUAGAAAUUGGGGAGCAUGUUCCUUCUUUUAAGUCUUUUGUAGUUCAACAUGUUGGUAGGGCAGGCAACGUCUCCGCUCAUCUCUGUGCAAAGCAAGCGAGCACUUUAGAUGUUACGGAAUGUUGGCUUGAGUCUACUCCUAGUUUUCUUGUAACCAGCCUCCUAGCAGAUUCUGCUGGUGCUGUCGAUGUUGAAUAA
rnacentral:rRNA from 1 species